ensembl:lncRNA
AGAUCAUCCCGUCUUCAAUUUUAUCGAUUUUCUACGUAAAAAAAAUACCUAAAGUUGUAUUACAAAAGUAGUUUGAAAUGUUUGGACAAAGCUUACAGGUAACAUUUGAGAUAUUUUGUAGUUACGUUGUGCAAGUUGGAACCGGUGUUUUUCUGGAUCAAACGGGUCAAAUAAAUGUACAUUUUGGAUAUAUAUCAACGGAAUUAAUCAAACAAAAUGAUCAUUUGUGAUGUUUAUGGGACAUAUUGGAGUGCCAACAGAAGAAGCUCAUCAAAGAAGCAGGAAGCUGUGCAGUGCAUUCAGACCGG